rnacentral:snoRNA from 1 species
CUGCAUCUCUGACAGCCCUGGAGCAGUUCCUGUCUCCUGCUAAGGUUUCCACUACAGAUGCAAGAAAAAGAAGUCCUUGCACUUUCUGUCUGUCUGGUUGUGGCAGCCAAGACUGAAUGGGGGAAUACAGGA